GCACGAACGCUGGCGGCGUGCUUAACACAUGCAAGUCGAACGGAAAGGCCCUUCGGGGUACUCGAGUGGCGAACGGGUGAGUAACACGUGGGUGAUCUGCCCUGCACUUUGGGAUAAGUCUGGGAAACUGGGUCUAAUACCGAAUAUGACCGCGCACUUCCUGGUGUGUGGUGGAAAGCUUUUGCGGUGUGGGAUGGGCCCGCGGCCUAUCAGCUUGUUGGUGGGGUAAUGGCCUACCAAGGCGACGACGGGUAGCCGGCCUGAGAGGGUGACCGGCCACACUGGGACUGAGAUACGGCCCAGACUCCUACGGGAGGCAGCAGUGGGGAAUAUUGCACAAUGGGCGCAAGCCUGAUGCAGCGACGCCGCGUGAGGGAUGACGGCCUUCGGGUUGUAAACCUCUUUCAAUAGGGACGAAGCGCAAGUGACGGUACCUAUAGAAGAAGGACCGGCCAACUACGUGC
rnacentral:rRNA from 1 species